UGCCUAACACAUGCAAGUCGAACGGCAGCACGGUCCAGUUUACUGGAUGGGUGGCGAGUGGCGAACGGGUGAGUAACGCGUAGGAAUAUACCCUGAAGAGGGGGAUAACCUGGGGAAACCCAGGCUAAUACCGCAUAAUCUCUGAGGAGCAAAGCUGGGGACCUUCGGGCCUGGCGCUUCAGGAAUAGCCUGCGUCCGAUUAGCUAGUUGGUGGGGUAAGGGCCUACCAAGGCGACGAUCGGUAGCUGGUCUGAGAGGAUGGUCAGCCACACUGGGACUGAGACACGGCCCAGACUCCUACGGGAGGCAGCAGUGGGGAAUAUUGGACAAUGGGGGCAACCCUGAUCCAGCAAUGCCGCGUGUGUGAAGAAGGCCUGAGGGUUGUAAAGCACUAUCAGUGGGGAGGAGGCUUUAAUGGUUAAGAGCUGUUGAAGUGGACGUUACCCACAGAAGAAGCACCGGCUAACUCCGUGCCAGCAGCCGCGGUAAUACGGAGGGUGCGAGCGUUAAUCGGAAUUACUGGG
rnacentral:rRNA from 1 species